UACGGGAGGCAGCAGUGGGGAAUAUUGCACAAUGGGCGCAAGCCUGAUGCAGCCAUGCCGCGUGUAUGAAGAAGGCCUUCGGGUUGUAAAGUACUUUCAGUCGUGAGGAAGGUGUUAAGGUUAAUAACCUUAGCAAUUGACGUUAGCGACAGAAGAAGCACCGGCUAACUCCGUGCCAGCAGCCGCGGUAAUACGGAGGGUGCGAGCGUUAAUCGGAAUUACUGGGCGUAAAGGGCACGCAGGCGGUUAAUUAAGUUGGAUGUGAAAUCCCCGGGCUUAAUCUGGGAAUGGCAUUCAAGACUGGUUAGCUAGAGUCUUGUAGAGGGGGUAGAAUUCCAUGUGUAGCGGUGAAAUGCGUAGAGAUGUGGAGGAAUACCGGUGGCGAAGGCGGCCCCUGGGACAAAGACUGACGCUCAUGUGCGAAAGCGUGGGGAGCGAAACAGGAUUAGGAUACC
rnacentral:rRNA from 1 species